ACUCAGGUGUUGUUGGGUAGGGGAGCGUUCUGUAAGCCUGUGAAGGUGGCCUGUGAGGGUUGCUGGAGGUAUCAGAAGUGCGAAUGCUGACAUAAGUAACGAUAAAGCGGGUGAAAAGCCCGCUCGCCGGAAGACCAAGGGUUCCUGUCCAACGUUAAUCGGGGCAGGGUGAGUCGACCCCUAAGGCGAGGCCGAAAGGCGUAGUCGAUGGGAAACGGGUUAAUAUUCCCGUACUUGGUGUUACUGCGAAGGGGGGACGGAGAAGGCUAUGUUGGCCGGGCGACGGUUGUCCCGGUUUAAGCGUGUAGGUGUGUGUUCCAGGUAAAUCCGGUUCACUUUAACACUGAGGCGUGACGACGAGGCACUACGGUGCUGAAGCAACAAAUGCCCUGCUUCCAGGAAAAGCCUCUAAGCAUCAGGUAACAUCAAAUCGUACCCCAAACCGACACAGGUGGUCAGGUAGAGAAUACCAAGGCGCUUGAGAGAACUCGGGUGAAGGAACUAGGCAAAAUGGUGCCGUAACUUCGGGAGAAGGCACGCUGACAC
rnacentral:rRNA from 1 species